GAUGAACGCUGGCGGCGUGCCUAAUACAUGCAAGUCGAGCGAAGCGGGGACGGGUGAGUAACAAGUGGAUAACCACCUAUAGGACUGGGAUAAAUACGGGAACCCGACGCUAAAACAGAUUAUCAUAUAUUGAUACGCGCUGCAUUAGCUAGUUGGUAAGGUAACGGCUUACCAAGGCAACGAUGCAUAGCCGACCUGAGAGGGGGAUCGGCCACACUGGAACUGAGACACGGUCCAGACUCCUACGGGAGGCAGCAGUAGGGAAUCUUCCGCAAUGGGCGAAAGCCUGACGGAGCAACGCCGCGUGAGUGAUGAAGUUCUUCGGAUCGUAAAACUCUGUUAUUAGGGAAGCGGUACCUAAUCAGAAAGCCACGGCUAACUACGUGCCAGCAGCCGCGGUAAUUC
rnacentral:rRNA from 1 species